rnacentral:rRNA from 1 species
UACGGAGGGUGCAAGCGUUGUCCGGAUUUAUUGGGUUUAAAGGGUGCGUAGGCGGUCCAUUAAGUCUGGGGGUGAAAGCCCGUUGCUCAACAACGGAACUGCCCUGGAAACUGGUGGACUUGAGUACAGACGAGGGUGGCGGAAUGGAUGCUGUAGCGGUGAAAUGCAUAGAUAGCAUCCAGAACCCCCGAUUGCGAAGCAGCUGCCUAGACUGUAACUACGUGAGGCACGAAAAGCGUGGGGGAGCGAACAGG